CCUACGGGAGGCAGCAGUGGGGAAUCUUGCGCAAUGGGCGAAAGCCUGACGCAGCAACGCCGCGUGCGGGAUGAAGGCCUUCGGGCUGUAAACCGCUUUCAGCAGGAACGAAAAUGACGGUACCUGCAGAAGAGGGAGCGGCCAACUACGUGCCAGCAGCCGCGGUGACACGUAGGCUCCAAGCGUUGUCCGGAUUUAUUGGGCGUAAAGAGCUCGUAGGCGGUUUAGUAAGUCGGGUGUUAAAACUCUGGGCUCAACCCGGAGAGGCCAUCCGAUACUGCUGUGACUUGAGUUCAGGAGGGGAGCGGGGAAUUCCUAGUGUAGCGGUGAAAUGCGCAGAUAUUAGGAGGAACACCGGUGGCGAAGGCGCCGCUCUGGACUGAAACUGACGCUGAGGAGCGAAAGCAUGGGUAGCAAACAGGAUUAGAUACCCUGGUAGUCCAUGCCGUAAACGGUGGGCACUAGGUGUGGGUUCCACUAACGGGAUCCGCGCCGUCGCUAACGCNUAGUAGCCGCCGNGGAGUACGGUCGCGAGACGUAAACUACAANAGAAGUAAGUACGGCGUUGAGACGUUGCCGAACGGCGACGACGAGGGAGGAGG
rnacentral:rRNA from 1 species